UAAUGUUGUGAGGUAAUUAAGAUGGAAACUAAGAAGAAAGUGAUAUGAAGUUUGCAGAGAAGAAGGUAGUAGGCAAUUAGUCAAUAACAGAGUAAUUUCAAGAGCAAGAUAAGAAAAUGAUACUGAGGGUGGGGAUAAAUUGGCAUAUACAUGGGGAAUUUUUUGGACUAAAUGAGUAUUAUAUUUUGACUUGACUUCGUUUCCAAAAUGUGUAUUGACUUCAGAGCAAAGUGACCAUCUGCACUUCAGUACGUGUCUGCACAUAAUUGGCCAGUAUGCAUAAAGUUAUCAUCAUUUGAG
rnacentral:lncRNA from 1 species